GGGGUGAUGGCGCAGCUGGGAGCGCGUUAGACUGAAGUGUCAACUUCGGUUUCAACAGCCAAUUGGUUGUAUUUGAUAUCUAAAGGUCACCGGUUCAAUCCCGGUUCAUCCCA
rfam:Aspergillus clavatus NRRL 1 1099423829736 genomic scaffold, whole genome shotgun sequence.